AGUGAACGCUGGCGGUAGGCCUAACACAUGCAAGUCGAACGGCAGCACAGUAAGAGCUUGCUCUUACGGGUGGCGAGUGGCGGACGGGUGAGGAAUACAUCGGAAUCUACUUUUUCGUGGGGGAUAACGUAGGGAAACUUACGCUAAUACCGCAUACGACCUACGGGUGAAAGCAGGGGAUCUUCGGGCCUUGCGCGAUUGAAUGAGCCGAUGUCGGAUUAGCUAGUUGGCGGGGUAAAGGCCCACCAAGGCGACGAUCCGUAGCUGGUCUGAGAGGAUGAUCAGCCACACUGGAACUGAGACACGGUCCAGACUCCUACGGGAGGCAGCAGUGGGGAAUAUUGGACAAUGGGCGCAAGCCUGAUCCAGCUAUACCGCGUGGGUGAAGAAGGCCUUCGGGUUGUAAAGCCCUUUUGUUGGGAAAGAAAAGCAGCAGGUUAAUACCCCGCUGUUCUGACGGUACCCAAAGAAUAAGCACCGGCUAACUUCGUG
rnacentral:rRNA from 1 species